UACGUAGGGUGCAAGCGUUAAUCGGAAUUACUGGGCGUAAAGCGUGCGCAGGCGGCUAUGCAAGACAGAUGUGAAAUCCCCGGGCUCAACCUGGGAACUGCAUUUGUGACUGCAUAGCUAGAGUACGGUAGAGGGGGAUGGAAUUCCGCGUGUAGCAGUGAAAUGCGUAGAUAUGCGGAGGAACACCGAUGGCGAAGGCAAUCCCCUGGACCUGUACUGACGCUCAUGCGACGA
rnacentral:rRNA from 1 species